UCCGAGUGUCCAUUGUGAUUGCCUGAACUUCAGGUCUUACCCAGAAUUACCGUGCAAACAUUUAUUGGCGGUUAUUCGUGAGUCGAACGUUGAAUGGACCGAUCUUCCGCUUUCAUUCAGGCACAAUCCUCACCUAUGCACGGAUCCUGGUGCUAGCUGUUCGACUCAAGAAGUUAGUCUUCCACUAACAGUACACGAUAGUCUUCCACAAGACCAGAGCCCGAAGAAAACAGAUAAAAACACUGAGGGAGACCUAAAUGCAACAUUCGGAAAGCUUGCAGAUCUUAGGAGCAUGAUCUAUAAUGUUGCUCCUGAAAAUAGACGUGAGAUGAGAGACCUUGUCACAAGUGUUAUUGAUGGGAUGCUUCUUCCACGG